AUUGAACGCUGGCGGCAUGCCUUACACAUGCAAGUCGAACGGUAACAGGUCUUCGGAUGCUGACGAGUGGCGAACGGGUGAGUAAUACAUCGGAACGUGCCCGAUCGUGGGGGAUAACGGAGCGAAAGAUUUGCUAAUACCGCAUACGAUCUACGGAUGAAAGCAGGGGACCGCAAGGCCUUGCGCGGACGGAGCGGCCGAUGGCAGAUUAGGUAGUUGGUGGGAUAAAAGCUUACCAAGCAGACGAGCUGAAGCUGGUCUGAGAGGACGACCAGCCAGACUGGGACUGAGACACGGCCCAGACUCCUACGGGAGGCAGCAGGGGGGAAUUUUGGACAAUGGGCGAAAGCCUGAUCCAGCCAUGCCGCGUGCAGGAUGAAGGCCUUCGGGUUGUAAACUGCUUUUGUACGGAACGAAAAGACUCCUUCUAAUAAAGGGGGUCCAUGACGGUACCGUAAGAAUAAGCACCGGCUAACUACGUGCCAGCCGCCGCAGUAAAAC
rnacentral:rRNA from 1 species